UACAGAGGUCUCAACCGUUGUUCGGAUUCAUUGGGCGUAAAGGGUGCGUAGGCGGUCGUGCAAGUCGGAUGUGAAAUCUCAGGGCUCAACCCUGAAACUGCAUUCGAUACUGCGCGGCUAGAGUGCUGGAGGGGAGACUGGAAUUUACGGUGUAGCAGUGAAAUGCGUAGAUAUCGUAAGGAAGACCAGUGGCGAAGGCGAGUCUCUGGACAGCAACUGACGCUGAGGCACGAAAGCGUGGGGAGCAAACAGG
rnacentral:rRNA from 1 species